rnacentral:rRNA from 1 species
AUUGAACGCUGGCGGCAGGCCUAACACAUGCAAGUCGAGCGAGCGGCGGACGGGUGAGUAAUGUCUGGGAAACUGCCUGAUGGAGGGGGAUAACUACUGGAAACGGUAGCUAAUACCGCAUACCAUCAGAUGUGCCCAGAUGGGAUUAGCUAGGAGGUGGGGUAACGGCUCACCUAGGGGACGAUCCCUAGCUGGUCUGAGAGGAUGACCAGCCCCACUGGAGCGGUGACACGGCCCAAACUCCUCCGGGAGGCAGCAGUGGGGAAUAUUGCACAAUGGGCGCAAGACUAAUGCAGCCAUGCCGCGUGUGUGAAGAAGGCCUUCGGGUUGUAAAGCACUGUCAGCGGGGAGGCGUUACCCGCAGAAGAAGCACCGGCUAACUCCGUGCCAGCAGCCGCGGUAAUUC